rnacentral:misc_RNA from 1 species
GUAAUGCAGUCAUUAUUUCACUGGACAAAAACCAUGCCAAACUUCACAUUAUGCUGAGACACUAGUUCACACUUCAGGAGAAUUUCUUUCAAAUAGACAAAAAGGUCAAAGAUAAGAUGGGCAUUAACAUUUAAAGGAGGUUAAUCAGCUAUUAUGCAGGCAUCCUUUCACAAAACCAAAAGCUUGGUGACCUUCACAAUAUGACUGGACCCUAAAUUCACACUUCAAGAGAAUUUCUUUCCAUUGAUUUGUAGCCCUUCUCCAUUGAUAUACACAAUCAUAAGCCAUCAACAAUAGUCUAGUUCUUUUCAAG